rnacentral:piRNA from 1 species
UGGAAGCCACCAAGCCAGCCACCAAC